rnacentral:rRNA from 1 species
GACGAACGCUGGCGGCGUGCCUAAUACAUGCAAGUCGAGCGGAGCGGCGGACGGGUGAGUAAUGCCUAGGAAUCUGCCUGGUAGUGGGGGAUAACGUCCGGCAACGGGCGCUAAUACCGCAUACUAUCAGAUGAGCCUAGGUCGGAUUAGCUAGUUGGGGGGGUAAAGGCCUACCAAGGCGAAGAUCCGUAACUGGUCUGAGAGGAUGAUCAGUACCACUGGAACGGAUACACGGUCCAGCCUCCUACGGGAAGCAGCAGUGGGGAAUAUUGGAGAAUGGGAGAAAGCCUGAUCCAGCCAUGCAGCGUGUGUGAAGAAGGUCUUCGGAUUGUAAAGCACUUUAAGUUGGUAGGCGUUACCAACAGAAUAAGCACCGGCUAACUUCGUGCCAGCCGCCGCGGUAAUUC